UACAGAGGGUGCGAGCGUUACUCGGAAUUACUGGGCGUAAAGCGCACGUAGGUGGCGACGUAAGUCGGGUGUGAAAGCCCCGGGCUUAACCCGGAAACUGCCAUUGAUACUAUUUGUCUUGAAUACUGUGGAGGUCAGCGGAAUAUGUCAUGUAGCGGUGAAAUGCUUAGAUAUGACAUAGAACACCAAUUGCGAAGGCAGCUGGCUACACAAAUAUUGACACUGAGGCACGAAAGCGUGGGGAUCAAACAGG
rnacentral:rRNA from 1 species